AUGUACUUCUAGGGGUAAAGUGUAAAUACGAAUUAUUUGAUAAACCAGUGUUUAUAGUUGAACUUAAUACUAUUUAUUGAUCAACGCCGUGAAGUACUGGCGUUCACUAAGAAAAAGCAAUACUAGUGCCUAGCACUAAUAUACAUGUAUAUAAUAUUCAGAUAUCGGAACAGUAUGAACACGGUGGUUCAUAUUAAUAUAGUACGGUAAUAAGCAUCAUAACAUGCUAGCUAGAAUGAAAGAAAGGAAAUGGUACUCGUUGUUAGCAGGAGACAUACUAGUAUAAGUGGAAUAGCUUUGGAACGAUCCCUGAUGUAGUAGAAAAUGACAAACAUGUGUCAACGUUGUAAAAAGUGCAUGUCUGUACUUUAUAACAGCGGACAAUUCCUGCGACAUCUUAUGAAAAGUACAUUUGUUCGAAUUUGGUUCUUCAUAUAUCUGUUAACAUUUGGAUUAGUUUUGCCUGUCAUAUUACGGGACUUCAGAUUCUCCAUCUACUACAGAAAUAAUGAUAGCGAGAAAUAUGGACAAAUGAUUCUAAGAAAAACAAAUGAAGAGAGGAAAGAAAAGGCCAAUGAGUUUAUACAACGAUACAAUAAAACAUUUCAUAAUAAUAUAGAAAAGCACAAACUAGAAGUUACACAUGGCAUUGAUACUAAAGAUGGUAAGAUGUUGGACUUUGUUGUUACCAUAGUUACUGUAUCAAGGAACAAACACACAUUUGAUAGCUAUGAACCAAAAUAUCUGUCACAAACAGUGUGGAAAUUCUUAGAAAUGCCCAACCCAAACAGUUCCUCAAUGAAAAAUUUUAGACUUUGUAUUUGUAAUGUGGAUGACGAUCCCGAAAAGUAUAAAGAGGCACAAUUACUUAGAAGUAUAGUUACUACAUUCCAACGCUUUAAUAAAUCGGAACCAAAUAAAGAACAUAUCCUGGAGAAAGAAAAACAGGACUAUGUGUAUUGCCUCAAUAGCUCUCUUCAACUAAACCCAAAGUAUGUUCUCCUUGUUGAAGAUGAUGCUCUUCCAAAGGAAGAUCUAUUUCCAGUCCUGGAGCAUGUGAUAGCACACAGAGACCUUGCUCAUUAUGAAACACUCACACAUGCCUCAACAGAUGACAUUGCUAGUAAUGUAUUAAACCUGGGCACAAAAUCAGAGAUGUCAACUGAAAAUAAUUCAACAGAUGCUGCUCCAUAUGCUCAUGACAAAGUUUUAUAUUAUAAGCUAUAUCAUCCCGAGAGGCUUUUAGGUUUCAUAAGCUUCGAGCCUGAACGACUACCCGAAUUACUAGGUAUAAGUGUACUGCUUGGGUACUUAGUGUUCAUGAUUUUGUUUCCAUGUUCACGGUAUCUCCAGCACAACAGAACUAAAUCCCUGGUAUUGAUUUCUUUAUAUUGGUGCCUUGUUGUUUUGGCUAUUGGAAGACCACAUCUAGUAACUUUGCGCUCUAUAUCAAAAUAUCUCUACAGUGUAGUUCCAGCACCAAGCUGUUGCACUCCUGCGAUGCUGUAUCCUUCUGGUAGUGCAAGAGAAAUCAUUGAAUAUCUCAGUAAAGUUAAAUGUAAAAAGGACUAUGCUAAAGACAUGGCUCUUGAGGACUUUCGAAAGGCAACUUUCCACAGAUCAUUAAUGGUGCAACCCAACUUAUUCUCCCAUAUUGGCCUUUACUCUAGUUUGAGAGAUGCAAUUCUGCCUCCUCAUCUUAUAUAUGACACUUGACAUAAAUACAUAUGCAUUCCUGCGAUAAUAAUCAAACAAAUAAAUGUUAAAGUAAACAUUGCAAGGAUACUUUCCUAAAAAUUGAAAUACACCCAUGGUGUUUAAAUAUUGUUUUAAACCUGAAAAUAUCGAGGCAGGCCCAAGUCUGUGUUGUCUUGGAUGUCUCUAGUUGGUUCUCCAUCUCAUAGAGAAGGUUUAUAUUUUAAUAAAGAGAAAACUAAUACAUAAUUUUACAUUUAAGUGGUUCAUACAAG
rnacentral:misc_RNA from 1 species